UAUGGGGGGGGCGAGCGUUGUUCGGAAUUACUGGGCGUAAAGGGUUUGUAGGUGGCCUGCUAAGUCAGACGUGAAAUCCCUCAGCUUAACUGGGGAACUGCGUCUGAUACUGGCGGGCUUGAGGACAGGAGAGGAACGCGGAAUUCCAGGUGUAGCGGUGAAAUGCGUAGAUAUCUGGAGGAACACCGGUGGCGAAGGCGGCGUUCUGGACUGUUUCUGACACUGAAAAACGAAAGCCAGGGGAGCAAACGGG
rnacentral:rRNA from 1 species